rnacentral:rRNA from 1 species
UACGGAGGUGCAGCGUUGUUCGGAAUUAUUGGCGUAAAGGGCAGGUAGGUGGUCUUAUAAGUUCUACUGUGAAAUCCCUGGGCUUAACCCAGGAAGUGCGGUGGAUACUGUAAGACUAGAGUGCUGGAAGGGUUCGUGGAAUUCCGGUGGUAGCGGUGAAAUGCGUAGAUAUCGGGAGGAACACCAGUGGCGAAGGCGACUACCUGGCCUGUUCUUGACCGCUGAGGCGCGAAAGCUA